GGGAUUUGCAGUGGAGUGUGAAUGAAUGUUUUGGCUGACUGGCAACAAAGUGACUGAAAAAUGAAAGAGAUACCAUUCCUCUUCAGACCAAUAUCUCUAGAAGAUGUCACUCCUCCAUGUGAAGAAUUGUGGACAAUUGUAUAUGAGUCUUCUUGCUGCCAAGAGCAGGACCCCAACAUGAGAACACAAGAAAAAGGGACAACAACAUUGAUAAAAUCCACAAAUAACUCAUUGCAUUAAAAAAGCUGUAUGUUUUAUCAGUGGUUUGAGACUAAAAGCUUGCCUUUAUUUUUACUUUUCAUAAUGGUGCAAGAGGCAUUACUUAUGGCUAAUGUGUUACUCAGCGAAACAAGCGUCAGUAUUUAAUAUGGUUUGCUAAAUAUUAAAUAUUGAUUAUCUUCUACUUUUAAUAAAAAAGCAAUGUAAUAAG
rnacentral:lncRNA from 1 species